rnacentral:rRNA from 1 species
UACGAAGGGGGCUAGCGUUGUUCGGAAUUACUGGGCGUAAAGCGCGCGCAGGCGGUCUUCCAAGUCAGUGGUGAAAGCCCGGAGCUCAACUCCGGAACUGCCAUUGAAGCUGUUGGACUUGAGUACGAGAGAGGUGAGUGGAAUUCCCAGUGUAGAGGUGAAAUUCGUAGAUAUUGGGAAGAACACCGGUGGCGAAGGCGGCUCACUGGCUCGUAACUGACGCUCAGGCGCGACAGCGUGGGGAGCAAACAGG